rnacentral:lncRNA from 1 species
GCCAGAUUGUCUUCGCAGCAUGCAAGACUCUCCAGCAUUAUUUCUUGGAUUGACUUCUCGGUUUCGACUCCUGCCUGUCCCUGACCACGUCUUAUUGUCUCAGCCCUUGGAUCCUCUGUCAAGUUUCUUCGCUCCGGUGAGAACUUCAGGUUUUGCUGUGUUACUGGCUUCCCGACCUACUGCCUGUCCACGACUAUCCUUCCGUCUGAUCCCUCUGGAGUCAGUCUGCCCCGCUGAUUGUCUGCCUGGAUUUGACAUUGCCUCCGCUUCGACCAGGAGCCCAGCCUGCCCCUCGACAGUGCCGCUGCACUUCACAAAGACUCUCAGGUGUAGUGUGUUUUCUGUGUGCACUCACCUUUCUGCCUGUUGGACCUGUUUCCUGUUGGUCCUCGAUAUUAUACAGAGACUGCUAAAUCAUCCCAGUAUCUUCAGUUACCUGUUUACUGUGAACUGUUACAAUAAAAGUAGCUUCUAAACAACUA